UGGGGUGUAGCCAAGCGGUAAGGCAGAGGGUUUUGGUUCCUCGAUGCGAAGGUUCGAGUCCUUCCACCCCAGCCA
rnacentral:tRNA from 1 species